UACGUAGGGCGCAAGCGUUGUCCGGAAUUAUUGGGCGUAAAGAGCUCGUAGGCGGUCUGUCGCGUCGGAUGUGAAAGCCCGGGGCUUAACCCCGGGUCUGCAUUCGAUGCGGGCAGACUAGAGUGUGGUAGGGGAGAUCGGAAUUCCUGGUGUAGCGGUGAAAUGCGCAGAUAUCAGGAGGAACACCGGUGGCGAAGGUGGAUCUCUGGGCCAUUACUGACGCUGAGGAGCGAAAGCAUGGGGAGCGAACAGG
rnacentral:rRNA from 1 species